CGGAGGUGCGCGGUGCCGCUGCUGCCCGGCUCAGCUCGGCUCGGAUUUUUCCCCAUUGGGAUUCCCUCUCCCCGAAGCUCUUCCGGAUUCUGCAGGGGCAGGUUUUGGAUGCUGGCAUGAUCUGAUCCUGCUCCAUCUGCUCCUGGCCACCCUACACCAGGAUGGACAAAUCCUAGAUUUAAAGUGACAGUGUCCAACAGCAGACCGAGGAAGCCAGGAACUCGUGGGAAAGUGCACUUGGAACCCCUUUGAACGUGUAGACGUGGUACUCAGGGACACGGUUUAAUGGGCAAUAUUGGUCUUAGGUGGGCAGUUGAACCUGAUGAUCCUAGAGGUGCUUCUAACCUUAAUGAUGAUAUGAUUCUGUUCUAUGAAGACUUUUUGGCAUUAAGGCAAUGAGAUCUGAUGCCACUGAUGUGGGGAGCCAACUCACAGAAGGGGCAUUGCUCACCAUGCCAUGUGCCCACAGGAAGCCCCAUAUUCCCCCUCUUUUACUGUCUCCUGCUGCUGCCAAGUGAGGCUGAAGGCUCUCCUUCUCCUCCCCAUGCACCUCAGGUCUCCAGGUCUAAUCCUCAGUGUAUCUUUACUACCUUUUCCUUGUGGUUUGUUUGCAUUGAGUUGGGUUGAGUUGGAUUGGGUUGGGUUAUGUUGUGUUGUGUUGGGUUGAGUUGAGUUGAACCAGCCUUAAAUUGGCUGUUAGCAAUCAAAAUAGUGUCACCCUUUGCCCCCACUGCUAUGUAAGGUGGGAGGGAAAGUUCCAAAGACACAAUGUGUGGUUUAAACCAAACUCAUCUUCUGGCCUCUGCAUCUCUCCUGGGCGUGUUUUCAAUUCUUCCUGCAAAAGUACAAAGACAAAAUUGCUUUUGGGUGGGGAAGGUCCUGCAGAGCCUCAUUUUGACAGUUGGA
ensembl:lncRNA